GGGGCCUAAUGCUCGUACUCGAUAUCGAGUUGUUUCGAUAGAUAAUUUGAAUUUUUGGAUUACCGUAUCCGUGAUCGAAUAAAAUUCAUCGAUAUGUCGAAUAAAACUAUUCGAGUUUUUGCCCGCCACAUUCUACCUGUCGAGACCAAAACAAAACAGAAGAAAAACGAAAUGAGCACGAAUUGCAACAAAAUAAAUUUUAAGCAAAAGGCAAUUAUGGCAGAUUUUAUGUCUGACCACCCGGGACUUGCCAAAGGAAAAAUUUCGAAUUGUCCAGAAGGUAGAGCGUCAUCCAAUCGUUUGUGGGAGCAGUUGACAACCAAAUUAUGGUAUCCCUUUCGGUUGAAGAACAUGUGUUCGUUUUCGGUGGGUUUCUGCAAUCCGAAAUGUGUUCCAUCUACACAUCCAAUUACCAAAAAAUGAAUCCGAAACUUUGUACAGAAAUGUUCCAUACACAAAGCCGACUGGUCUGGUGAAAAGUUGAUGUGUUCUGGACAAAGUUUUAGUUCCAUUUCUUUUGCGACUCGCUGGGCAACCCUGC